GUAGAUCUUCAGGACCUGCUGCAAGAGCCCACGCAGCUCUAAAGCCUGAGAAAGAAGAGAGCUGAGGGGCAGGCAGAAGAGAAGUUUGGAGAAGCAAGCCACAGUACAAAGUGUCCCCGUGUUCCCGGAGGAGCGUGCAAGAGGAUGGGCUGCAGAUACCAGGGCUGGUAACGGUGCAGGGGGGAUUGUGGGUCCUGGUACUCUGUGCCUUCUCCAACCUCCCUGAUGGAUGGAAUCACUCGGACUCACACAUCUUCUGGUUCCUGGAAGGGGCCGACAUACACCAGGAUCCUCCAGUGGCCACAAACAAACUGAGCCAGAAGCUGCAAGAGAGGACCCUGGGCUGCUUCCAUUUCCUUCCAUUUCCCAGACCAAGAGCUGCUCCCUGAGAAUGAGAGAUGCCAGGAAGAAAGAUGGUGGGUUGUACUCAUUUUGAUUGGAGAGAGGGAUCUGCCAUGAAGUUCAGUUUGAAGUAUAAGACACUCUCUCUGAAUGUGACAGGUGGAAAUGGACCCCUACUCCUAGUAUGGGGGUGAGGAUCAGCAUGAGGUGUGCCUGGGAGCUCAGAGGAGACACAUCUCUGGGGCUGGAGCAGAGGCUAUUUCCAUAUUCACACCUUGGAGUCCCCUCUCUGUGUCUCAGGUUUCUUCCUCUAUCCUUCCCACCCUUCAUCCAGACACCCGACAUCCAAGUUCCAGCAGCUCUGGAGUCUGGCCAUCCUGGAAGCCUGGUCUGCUCCAUGCCGGCAGUCUGUAGUUGGAGGAGGCCCACCGUCUUCUCCUGCAUAUGGGACACCCCAGCUAACCUCUCAGAGGUCACCAUUGUCCCACGGCUCCGGAACCACAGCAUCAAUGUGACUACAGAGAUGACCAUCAAGCUCAAUGUCUCAUAUCGCCCCCAGAACCUGACCAUCAGUGUCUUCUGUGAGAAUAAUAAAGAUUGGAGAGAAUAUCUCAUGUCCAAGGCUGUGAUGGAGGGAAGGAGGUGUCUACAGCACCUCAGAACAAAGUCUAAAAGUCUUGGAGGUUGA
rnacentral:lncRNA from 1 species